rnacentral:rRNA from 1 species
GACAGAGGGUGCAAACGUUGCUCGGAAUCACUGGGCGUAAAGGGCGUGUAGGCGGACUUGCAAGUCAGGCGUGAAAUCCCUGGGCUCAACCCAGGAAUUGCACUUGAAACUGCAAGCCUUGAGUGUCGGAGAGGAAAGUGGAAUUCCUGGUGUAGAGGUGAAAUUCGUAGAUAUCAGGAGGAACACCGGUGGCGAAGGCGGCUUUCUGGACGACAA